GAAUUUGAUCUUGGUCAGGAUGAACGCUGGCGGCGUGCUUAACACAUGCAAGUCGAACGGAGAUGUCCCGCUGACGAAGCUUCGGCAGAGUCUUGGGGCAUCUUAGUGGCGGACGGGUGAGUAACGCGUGGGUAACCUGCCUAUCACAGGGGGACAACAGUUGGAAACGACUGCUAAUACCGCAUAAGCGCACGGUGCCGCAUGGCACAGUGUGAAAAAGAUCUAUCGGUGAUAGAUGGACCCGCGUCUGAUUUAGCCAGUUGGCGGGGUAACGGCCCACCCAAAGCGACGAUCAGUAGCCGAACUGAGAGGUUGACCGGCCACAUUGGGACUGAGACACGGCCCAAACUCCUACGGGAGGCAGCAGUGGGGAAUAUUGCACAAUGGGGGAAACCCUGAUGCAGCGACGCCGCGUGAGUGAAGAAGUAUUUCGGUAUGUAAAGCUCUAUCAGCAGGGAAGAAAAUGACGGUACCCGACUAAGAAGCCCCGGCUAACUACGUGCCAGCAGCCGC
rnacentral:rRNA from 1 species